rnacentral:rRNA from 1 species
AGCAGUCGCCGCGGGAAUACAGAGGGUGCGAGCGUUAAUCGGAUUUACUGGGCGUAAAGCGUGCGUAGGCGGCUUUUUAAGUCGGAUGUGAAAUCCCUGAGCUUAACUUAGGAAUUGCAUUCGAUACUGGGAAGCUAGAGUAUGGGAGAGGAUGGUAGAAUUCCAGGUGUAACGGUGAAAUGCGUAGAGAUCUGGAGGAAUACCGAUGGCGAAGGCAGCCAUCUGGCCUAAUACUGACGCUGAGGUACGAAAGCAUGGGGAGCAAACAGGAUUAGAUACCCCUGUAGUCCCUGUCUCUUAUAC